UUCUUUUCAUUGUACUCAUUGCUUCUCUUCCUCUUUUCGUCAACGACAAUGGGUAACUUAAUCUCAACCUUCUUACCAGCAGACUUAUUUGAUCGAACUUCAAACUGCGUUGGUGAACAAGCAAAAUAUGUAUGGGGUCUCGAAAAAAAUCUUCGGGUCUUGGAGACUGAAUUGCACAAAUUGACUCGAGCAAGGGCCGAUCUGAAGACCAAGGUUGAGGUCGAAGAACAACGACCUCGAACCAGACGAACGAACCAGGUCGCAGGGUGGCUUGAAGAUGUGCAAAAACUGGAAACUGAAUUUACCGAGCUGGAACGAGUUAGAGCUCAUGAAAUGGAUAGAUUGUGCCUUGGAGGCCUCUGUUCCAAAAACUUCGUUUCAAGCUACAAUUACGGGACUCAGGUGGUCGAGUUGACGGAUCGAGUGAUCAAUUUAAAGAAAGACGGAGAAAAAAUUGAAGUCGUUGUUGAGAAGGCGCCGGAUGGUGCAGCAAUUGAAUUACCUCUUGAUCACACAGUUGUUGGUCAAGAACUAUUACUUGAUCAAGUUUGGAGAUGUAUCACUGAUCAGGAAAAUAACAGGGGAAUUAUCGGCUUGUAUGGUAUCGGGGGAGCCGGCAAAACUACCCUUUUAAAACAAGUCAACAACAACUUCUGCCAUCAACAGCAUAAUUUUGAUGUUGUUAUCUGGGCGGCUGCGUCAACACUUCAAGAUGACAUUGGAAAAAGGAUUGGCUUUUCAGAAGACAGAAACUGGAAGGAAAAAAGUUUAUAAUUAACGAAAGGGCCUUUUUCUUUUUUUAAAUCCCGCUAAAGGUUAUAAUUAACAACAAAUUAAUAAUAGAAGAGAGAGAAAUACCAAGUUCAAUAUGGUAAUAUUUUAUCUUCCCUUAACUGCUCCCCUUUGGCUUAUAAUGCGACCUUUAUACUCGUUGACAAAAUUGUAUUUGUCGCUUAAGUCUUGUUUGUUUUAAAAUGCUGGCAUAUUUAUGGAGUGGGAACUAGGGAUGGCAAUGGAGUGGAUUUGAUCCAAGAUCCAUGUGAUCCAAAUCCAAUCGGAUCGGAUUUGGAUCGGUUUAAAAUGGAUUUGGAUAUCGAUGUGCGGAUCUAAGACAGAUAUGGAGCAGAUAUGGAUCUAUCUUAAUAUCUAAAUCCAUAUCCAUAUCCACUCAUCUUUUAAUUUUAUUUUAUUUUAAAAGUUUAUUAAUAAUUGUGGAAUGAUAAUGAUAAUAAAUUUUAUUCAUAGCAUAUUAGUAAUAUUUACCAUGAAUUUAAACUCUUAAAACUUAAAGGUUAGUUUUGUAAAUUUAAAGGUCAGCCAGCCUCAAAACAUGUACAUGCAAUAUUCAAAUUGCAAUCCAAGUAAUAUAACCUGGUAAUAUAUUUUAUCAUAUUGGCCAAAUAAUUUUUAAGGAAUAUAGUUAUUCAUAUAUUUAGUCAAAUGUGGUCAUAAUAAAAAUAAUAAAUGACUGAAUAUAAAACAUAUUUAAUUUAUAUAUCAUUAUCUAAUGUUGUAGGAAUGAGGGUAGGUGUAUCGUGAAUACUAGAAUGAUGAAGGAGACAAUAGAAUAUUAGAUUGAUCUUACUCCUGCAAUUACUUCUGAAUGAUAUUUUAUUAUCUUUCUUAUUUGUUGUUUUGGUAUAGAAGUAUAAGCUACAAUAUUUAUUAUAUUUUUGAGAAAAAUUAUAUAAUUUAUUUGUUAUCAAUACAUUUUAGCCUUCAAUUUUCAAUCUAAAAAAUUAUUACUUUUUUAUUACGGAAUUUUAGAAUUCAUGACGGAUCUAGAGCAGAUUUGGAUUUUAAUUUUUUUUCGGAUUUGGAGCAGAUAUAGAUAUUUAUUUCUUUUUUGGAUCUGGAUAUGGAGCGAAAAAUAUGGAUUCAUAACAGAUCUGGAGCAGAUACUGAUCUUGAUUUUUAUUAUGGAUUUGGAUCUGGAGCAGAGUAGAUCCAACCCAUAUCUGCCCCAUUGCCAUCCCUAGUGGGAACCCAGAUGCUGAACUCAUAGUAAAUAUUUAUUUAAUUUGUUAUAAUUACAUUUGGUGGGAUAAUUUUAAAUAUUAAUUUAACAAGAUAGUGAUGUUUGCCUUGCCCUACAUGAAGAAAAAUAAGUAAUUAAAGAUUUUUCUUUUCCUUUAUAUUAGUAAUAGAUUUCAAAUGGAAAACAGACAAAUUUCAUUUUUGUUUCAAUAAUUACCCUAUCACUGUGUGCGUGCGUGAUCACAUAAUUUUGUACUACCGUCUGUGGAAUAACUUUAGGAAAAGAAAAUUAAUUUUUUUUAAGUAAUGAUAAAUAUUUUAAAAUUUUAUCUUAAAUUGUUUUCUUCUCUUAUCAAUUUUUUUUUUCUCCUAUCUUCCAAUGAAAGUGCAGGACCUCAAUUAUUUUAAUAGAGAUGUAGUAAUAAAUUAUUAAUGAAACAUGUCAAAUCCAAUGUAUAGAUAAUAAUAAAAUGAGGCUAAUGCUAAGUUACAUACAUGUAACUUAGGGGAUCCAUAAAAUAAAUAUACAUGGUUUCAAAAAAGUUAGCACAUGCUUGUUACAAAUAUAAAACAUUAUCUUAAAAGUCUCUGAACUUUUGUGUUCUCUUUAACAUUUUUCUCUUAUGUUGUUUUUGUACUAUAUGGAUACAAGAGUGCGUUUGGCACGCUGUAUUAUAUUAUGUUGUAUUGCAUUAUUUUAAUGCAGGUGUAUUGCAUUAUGUUGUGUUGCAUUAGUAAUGUAUUAUAAUAAUGUUGUACAAUGUUUGGUACUAUAUUGUACUGUAUUAAUUUUUAAUUAUAUUAUAUUUGAUAUUGCACUAUAUUGUAUUAAUUUUUUGUGACUAAUUUAAAUUAUAUAUUUAGAAAAUACUAAUGAAUUGUGCUAAACAAUCUAAUAAUUAUAUAUUUUAUUAAUUUUUAAUUAAUAUUAUUCAAAUUUAUUCAUAUUUAAAUAUUAUUAUUAGUUAUAUUAAAUUAUUUAAAAAUAACUAGUUUAAUUAUUUUAAUAAAUUAAAUAAUAUUAUAUUAUAUUAUAUUAUUUAAGUAUUUAUUAUUAGUUAUAUUAACUUAUUAAAAAUUAAUUAAUUAAAUAUAUUAAUUGAUAUAAUUUUACAUAUUAAUUAAUAUAAUAUAAUUAAAUAAUACAUUUUUUAGUUGUACAUUUACUAUGAUAAAAAUUAAAAUAUAAUAUAAUAUUAUUAAACAAUAAAUUUAUUAAUUUAUAUUAAAAUUAUAAUGUAAAAAUAAUAUUAUAUAAUAUAAUAUUAAAUUAAAAAUUAUAUUCAUUUAUCAUUAUUACAAAGUAUAUAAAAAAAAAAAAAAAAGAGGAAGCUAAAACUAAAGUGGUAACUGGACGCAUUAGCUAAACCCGACUAUAUGUCGGGUUUAGCUAAUAUAGCCAUUUGGUACCCCAAACAUGGGGCUGCAUUGCUAAUGUAAUGCAAUCCCAGGUAAAGAGGGGUACCAAACAACCCCCAAGUUCACUUAAUGUAACAUAACAUACUUUUAUAUAUAUAUGUAUAUAUAUAUAUAUAUAUAUACACACUACGUGGAGGUGAGCUCCUUAAGGUGAGAUUUAUCAAAAUUAUAAAUUAUUACAACAUGAAAUUUAUUCUUAUUUAUAAUUGACCUAAUAUAAAUUAAGAUCGUUACUUUUAUAGCUACAUGAAAUUAUUCUUAUAUAAAAUAUCACUACAUAAAUGUUUUAUUGCAAUAUUGAUCUCUCUUUUUUCUUUAUUGUAUUUAUCUCUUCAUAAUCUUUUCCUUUUUAUUAAAAAAAAAUCAAAUAAAAGAUUCAUCAACAUCUCAGUCCAACAGUCUACCAGCGAAAACGAGUGUCCAUGCUUUUGAACCAAGGCCCAAUAUGUGAGGGAGAGAUUGUUGGGUUGUCUUAUAUCGGUUGUGAACUAGGAUGGGAUUGAAUGAGACCCAAAACUGCCUAACAUGAAUUCUAUCACUGGGAUUUUUACCCAGUAUAACAAACAUAACACAACGAAUUAUCAAUUUAUCACCUAAUGGCUCUAACUUUAGCGAUGAUCACCUUACAUGAACAUGAAAAUUAAUCCCAUUGUUUAACUCAACACUGACGAUAAUCACUUAAACUCUUAUGCACCGAAGGAUAUACUCGCUACAGGGAAUCUUAACUCAUAAAGAUGCUCCCACAUCUUCCAUUAAGUUUCCAUCGAACAACUAUUCAUAUCAUUCGAUGAAAAAUUAAUUUUAGUGAGGGCCAAAAGAGCACGAGUGAUCCAAACCACUAAACAACAUCAUAACCAACACAAAAUUCAUACUAAACAAACCAUUACCAAAACAGCAAAGCUAGACAUAAAUUUGAACAGAUACACAAGCUACAUUCAUUACCAUAAUGUAUCGACUAAAUUUCCAAGCUCUCCUGUGCUGCUUGUCUAACUGAUUCAAAUCCACAUAGAUAAAUUUAAGCACAUUAAGUUUUCAAACUCAAAUCAAACAGCUUUAAAAGUUACUUCACAAACAAUGAAUUUCAUUUUCGAAAUACAAAGAAUCCGUUCAGUUUAAAACAAUAAAAAAUCGUCUACGACUACUCAACUCAUGUAUUAUAACUAAAAAAACGAAGGAUACCCACAAAAAUUAAAGAUAAAUUACCAAAAACCCAAAAAACUCAAGCCAAAAUUGCCAAAAAAAAAAAAGCGAGAGAAUGGAAAUUGGGGUACCAGGGGCGGGCGAGAGGAAACGAGAAGAGGAAGAAAGAGGGGUUUUAGAGAGAGUGGGAAUUAGUGGAGGCAAAAAUGGAGAGUUUUGCCUCCACUAAUGAUUGGUGGGGUGGUGAUGGCGGUGGUGGGGUUAAUGUUCUGGAGGGUAUGCUGAAGAGAGGUCGCAAGAGAACCUCCAUAGCCUUUAAAGAGAGUUGAGUUGCUGCUUUCUUUUGCCGUGGAUGGAGAGAGAUUAAGGGAUUAGAAUUCUGUAUGGAAUUUACUUUUUAUUAAAUAAAAAAUUAAUGUUAAAAUCAUUUUAUUUUAUUUUUUUAUCUAGUUAUCAUUGACUUAAUAUUUUGGAUCUUCAUCCAAAGUAAAGGCACAAAAUUUUUAUUCUAAAUAAAUAUUCUCAAUAUAAAUUUAUCACUUAAAUAAUAAAUGAUAAGAUUUUAUAUUAAUUCUGUCAUUACUGAAAUGAAUUACAAAUUUUAUAUGACGUGUAAACGUAUCAUUAUAUUCUUGAUAUUUGACAUCUUGACUAAAGCAACAAAUGUAUCAUAUUUUUAUUUUGGUAUUGUGGUUCUCUAAAAAUACCCUCACCAAAUUAGCUUAAUUCUUUUCAUUGUACCCAUUGCUUCUCUUCCUCUUUUCGUCAACGACAAUGGGUAACUUAAUCUCAACCUUCUUACCAGCAGACUUAUUUGAUCGAACUUCAAACUGCGUUGGUGAACAAGCAAAAUAUGUAUGGGGUCUCGAAAAAAAUCUUCGGGUCUUGGAGACUGAAUUGCACAAAUUGACUCGAGCAAGGGCCGAUCUGAAGACCAAGGUUGAGGUCGAAGAACAACGACCUCGAACCAGACGAACGAACCAGGUCGCAGGGUGGCUUGAAGAUGUGCAAAAUCUGGAAACUGAAUUUACCGAGCUGGAACGAGUUAGAGCUCAUGAAAUGGAUAGAUUGUGCCUUGGAGGCCUCUGUUCCAAAAACUUCGUUUCAAGCUACAAUUAUGGGACUCAGGUGGUCGAGUUGACGGAUCGAGUGAUCAAUUUAAAGAAAGAUGGAGAAAAAAUUGAAGUCGUUGUUGAGAAGGCGCCGGAUGGUGCAGCAAUUGAAUUACCUCUUGAUCACACAGUUGUUGGUCAAGAAUUAUUACUUGAUCAAGUUUGGAGAUGUAUCACUGAUCAGGAAAAUAACAGGGGAAUUAUCGGCUUGUAUGGUAUGGGGGGAGUCGGCAAAACUACCCUUUUAAAACAAGUCAACAACAACUUCCGCCAUCAACAGCAUAUUUUUGAUGUUGUUAUCUGGACGGCUGCGUCAACACUUCAAGAUGACAUUGGAAAAAGGAUUGGCUUUUCAGAAGACAGAAACUGGAAGGAAAAAAGUCUUCAAGACAAGGCUGUGGACAUCGCUAGCAUUUUAAGCGGAAAGAAGUUUGUGUUGUUAUUAGAUGAUGUAUGAGAGCGCAUUGAUUUAACAGAAUUGGGUGUCCCUCUUCAAAAACUAAAUGAUGGGUCCAAAGUAGUCUUGACAACUCGUUCAGCUGGUGUUUGCGAUCAAAUGGACGCUGAAAAGUUGGAAGUGUAUAGUUUGGCGCAUGAUAAAGCCUGGGAAUUAUUUCAGGAGAUGGUCGAAAGAUCCACUCUUGACAGUCAUACCAGUAUUCCAGAGCUAGCCGAAACCUUGGCAAGAGAGUGUGGUGGGUUGCCGCUAGCGCUUAAAAUAGUGGGUCGAGCGAUGAAAAGCCAAAGGAAAGUUGGAGAUUGGAAACGUGCAAUUAACAAAAUGAGAACAUCAGCUUCUAAAUUCUCAGGUAUGAAGGAAGAGGUGUUUUCGCGUUUAAAGUUCAGCUAUGAUAGUUUGUCUACGGAUGAACUUCGUUCCUGUCUCCUGUAUUGUUAUUUAUAUCCUGAAGACUACGAAAUUCCUAAAAGGGAAUUGAUUGAUUAUUGGAUUAGUGAAGGAUUUGUGUAUGAUUUUGAUGAUGGAUGCGAUUUUAUUGAUGACCUUCUUCAAGCAUGCUUAUUGGAGGAAGAAGGCGAUGAUCAUGUAAAGAUGCAUGAUAUGAUUCGUGAGAUGUCAUUAUGGAUAGCGUGCACGGUAGACAAGGAGGAGCAGAACUUUCUGGUUCGCGCUGGAGUUAAAUUGACCGAAGCACCAAAGGUUGAAGAAUGGGAAGGUGCCAAACGGAUAUCUCUGACGGCAAAUGGAAUUGGAAGCCUAUCGGAAAUUCCCACGUGUCCACGUCUCGUCACUUUACUUCUGGAUGGAAAUCGGAUUGAGGAGAUUACUGAUGGCUUCUUUCAAUCUCUGUCGACUCUUAGAGUAUUAAGUCUAAGAGGAAAUUUUCCCCCAAGUACACUACCUUCAGGGAUUUCAGGUUUGGUUUCAUUACAUCAUCUUGAUCUUUCUUCGACUGACAUAACUGGGUUGCCGCAAGAGCUGAAGGCAUUGGAGAAGCUGAGAUAUUUGAACUUGGACUAUGCAUUUCAUUUGUCUAUAAUUCCACAUCAAUUGAUAUCUUGUUUUUCAAAGUUGGAGGUACUCAGGUUGUGUGGGUGCGGUCGCUUUGGUGUAAUAAAAGGGAAAGAAGGUAACGUUCUAUGUGAUGGUGCUGAACCUUUGAUGAAGGAAUUGCUGGGUUUGAAGCAUUUAAAUGUUUUAAGCUGGUCCUUCGGAAGUUCACUUGCUGUCCAAAAGUUUUUGAAAUAUCCAAAGCUGGUGAGCAUCACUCAAUCUGUAUGGGUUGAAUGUGGCACGUAUACAAGGCCACCGUUCAAUGUCUUACAUCUGGCAUACAUGGAGAAUCUUCAGGAGUUAGAACUUGAAUCCUGUAAUUUGGAAGAGAUGAAGAUUGACAGCACAGAAGAGGUAAAGAAACUUUUUCGAAAUGGUUUCCGCAAUCUUAACACAGUUGUCCUAAGGUCUUGCAGAGGGAAGGACUUAACGUGGCUUGUUUUUGUUCAAAAUCUCAAGCAGCUAAAUAUGCAGGGUUUUACUAUGGAAGAGAUAAUCAGUGUUGAAAAAUUGAGUGAUAUUUCAGAGGUAAUCGGGUCAGAGCAUAACUUUUUCCCACGACUCGAAUAUCUAACCAUGUGGCGGGGAACAAAUUUAAAGAGCGUUUACCCGAAUCCCCAGCCUUUUCCAAAGCUGAAGAAAAUUCAAGCAUUUCAUUGCCGACAGCUGUAGAAGCUCCCACUCAAUUCCAGCAGCGCGAAGGGACGUCGAGUUGUGAUGACAAUGCUAUAUUUGCUGCAGGACUUGAGUAAAAAUAAAAACAGCAAGAUUUGAUUAUGCUGUCAAUAAAAUCCUGCAAGAUUGUAGGAAAAAAAUUUGUUUUUAAAUUUUAUGAUAUCAGAUAUAUGUUAAAGAUAUGUAGGCAGAUUUUUUGGCUUUGUUUGUUUCUUUUCAUGUAUAAAUUCAAAUACUGCAAUAAUGAAUAAAAUACUGCAAUUAACAGACCCAAUUUCUAUGUGUUCUCUUUUCUUUGUUUAAAACCAACAAGGUGGUAUCAGAGCCCUUAUUCUUAAGGGACUUGUAACGUGAUUAGAGAGGCUUCCUACACUUCAAUAUGGCAGGAAAUGGUUUCUUAUCUGCUCCUCCAGUUUUCACAGGUGAAAAUUAUCAAAUAUGGGCUGUGAAAAUGGAAUCUUACUUGGAUGCAUGUGACCUAUGGGACUUGGUGGAAGCAGAUCCAGAGGAUCCACCAUUAGCUCAUAUGAGGAAUAACAGGGAUGAAAGAAAAUGGAGAUAUAAGGCCAAGACAUGCAUUCACUCUGCAGUUUCGGAGACAAUUUUUACAAAGAUCAUGACUUGUGAAACAACGAAACAGGCAUGGGAUCUUUUGAAACAAGAAUAUCAGGGGAACGUCAGGACAAAACAAAUGCAGGUCCUGAACCUGAGAAGGGAAUUUGAAAUGUAGAAAAUGAAGGAGACAUAAACAGUUAAUGACUAUAAAGACAAGUUGAUGAUGAUUGCCAAUAAAAUUAGAAUGCUUGGGGAAGAGUUUUCUGAUAGAAGGAUUGUAGAGAAGAUUUUGGUGACCUUGCCUCAGAGAUUUGAAUCUAAAAUCUCUUCACUUGAAGAGUCCAGAGAUAUGUCAACAAAGGAGAGCUUACAGAAAGGAGGAGAUAGUUGAAGGAGCAUUUCAAGUGAAAGAGGCUGAUCAAGCUCAGGGAGGCAGCAAAGAAAAGAAACAGUGGAGUAAGAAGAUUUACAAGAAGGGGGAAAGUAGCAUCAAUGAAGGCAACAAGGGCAAGCACUCCCCGUGUCCUCACUAUAAGAAAACCUCUCAUCCGCAAAAGAAAUGUUGGUUUAGGCCUGACAUUCAAUGCAGGGCAUGCAAGCAAAUUGGGCAUAUGGAGAGGGUGUGUAAAAACAAACAGCAAGAAGGACAUCAAGCUCAAGCAGCAGAACAACAACAGGAUGAACAACUUUUUGUUGUAUCUUGUUUUUCGAGUAACAGUUCGAGUGAUGAUUGGCUCAUCGACAGCGGAUGCACAAAUCACAUGUCUUUUGAUGAAUCUCUUUUCAAAGAAGUAAACAAGUCAGAAGUGUCAAGAGUUAAAGUUGGCAAUGGGCAGUAUAUUGAAGUGAAAGGUAAAAGGACAGUUGCAAUAAAAAGCUCAGCAGGUAUCAAGUUAAUUUCUGAUGUAUUACUUGUUCAUAAAAUUGAUCAAAAUCUACUGAGUGUGGGACAAUUGCUUGAGAAAGGUUAUUCUGUUGAAUUUAAGAAUAACAUGUGUGUCAUUACUGACCCAAAUGGUGUAGUGUUGUUCUCUGUGAAAAUGAAUAGCAAAAGCUUCAGCUUAAGUUGGAACAAGGAUGAAUGUAGUGCAUAUCAAUGUACUUUGAACCAGGCUGAGUUAUGGCACAAGCGGAUGGGGCAUUUUCAUUAUUCUGCAUUAGAUUACAUGCAGAAAAAUGAUCUUGUGCAAGGAAUGACUUUCAAUGGAGGAGGAGCAUCAGUGUGUAGAGUCUGUCAGCUGGGAAAACAAGCUAGAUUGCUAUUCCCUGUUAAUAAGGCAUGGAGAGCAGUUGAGAAGCUUCAGUUAAUCCACACAGAUGUUUGUGGACCUAUGAGGACUGCAUCCUUAAAUGGUAAUAGGUACUUCAUGGUUCUUAUUGAUGAUUUUAAUAGAAUGUGUUGGAUUUACUUUCUCAAACAAAAAUCUGAAGUUGCUAGUGUAUUUUGGAAGUUUAAAAAAUGGAUUGAAAAUCAAAGUGGUUGUAAAAUCAAGGUGAUUAGAUCUGAUAAUGGGACUGAAUAUACAGCUGAUAAAUUUGCUAAGUUUUGUGAAGCUGCAGGGAUUGAACAUCAGCUUACAACAACCUAUACACCUCAACAAAAUGGAGUCAGUGAGAGGAAAAACAUGACAGUCAUGGAGAUGGCUAGAUGUUUGUUGUUUGAGAAGGAAAUGCCAAAAAUGUUUUGGGCUGAGGAUGUUAAUACUGCUGUAUUUCUGCAAAACAAGUUACCAACAAAGGCUUUAAAGGGAAAAACACCUUUUGAAGCUUGGUUUGGUUUUAAACCCUCUAUUCAUAACUUGAGAAUUUUUGGUUGCAUGUGUUUUACUCAUGUUCCAGAUGCAAAAAGAGAGAAGUUGGAUCAAAAGGCAGAAUAUGGAGUUUUUGUAGGAUACAACACUCUCACCAAAGGUUAUAGAGUUUAUCAACCUUUGACGGGAAGAAUCAUAGUGAGUAGAGAUGUUAAAUUUGAUGAAACUGGAGGAUGGAAUUGGGCAACAGCUGAACCAAAGCAAGUUUAUGCAGAAGAAAAAACAUCAGAAUUGCAAGAUGAUGAUAUAAUUGAUGAUGAACCAAUAAGAGGUACCAGACCACUUAUAGAAAUUUAUCAAAAGUGCAAUAUGGUUGUGCUUGAACCUGCAGGUUAUAAUGAGGCUGCUAAAGAUCCAAAGUGGCUUGAACCAAUGGAAGAUGAGAUCAAGAUGAUUCACAAGAAUCAAACUUGGGAGUUGGUGGACAGACCACUACACAAGAAAACUAUUGGUGUGAAAUGGGUUUAUAGAACCAAACUCAAUGCUGAUGGUUCUGUAAACAAAUUCAAAACAAGGCUAGUUGUAAAAGGGUAUGCUCAACUAUUUGGUGUUGACUUUUCUGAAACGUUUGCACCUGUAGCAUGGCUGGACACCAUCAGAUUGCUUUUAGCACUUGCAGCACAAAAGCAGUGGAAAAUCUACCAGCUUGAUGUUAAAUCAGCUUUUUUAAAUGGCUAUUUGGAUGAAGAAAUCUUUGUUGAGCAACCUGAGGGUUUUGUUGCAGAUCUGAAGAAAGUAUAUUUGUUAAAAAAAGGCAUUAUAUGGCUUGAAGCAGGCUCCAAGAGCUUGGUACAGCAGGAUUGAUGAUCAUUUGCUGAACAUAGGCUUCAACAAGAGCAUGAGUGAAUCAACUUUGUAUAUUCAAGUAAUUAAUCAUGAAUUGAUUGUUGUUUCACUUUAUGUUGAUGAUUUUCUUGUCACAGGAAGCAAUGAAGAAUUAGUGAAGCAAUUUAAGGUUCAAAUGAUGCAAGCAUUUGAAAUGACUGAUCUAGGAGAGAUGACUUUCUUUUUAGGUCUGGAGAUUCAAAAGUCACAGCAAGGGAUCUUCAUUGGACAGCAAAAAUAUGCUAAAGAAGUGCCAAAGAAAUUCAACAUGGAGGAUUGCAAGUCAGUAUGUACUCCUUUAGCUCAAAAUGAGAAAUUUAGUAAAGAUGAUGGUGCUGAAAAGAUUGACGAAGCAUUAUAUAGGAGUAUUAUAAGUUGCUUGAUGUAUUUGACAGCAACAAGACCUGAUAUAAUGUUUGAUGUAAGUUUGCUGUCCAGAUAUAUGCAUUGUGCAAGUGAAUUGCACUACAAAGCUGCUAAAAGGGUGCUCAGGUAUAUCAAGGGAACUUUGGAUCAUGGAAUAAAAUUUGAGAAGGAAGACAAGCUGAUUUUGCAUGGUUUUGCUGAUAGUGAUUGGGCAGGAUCCUGUGAUGAUAUGAGGAGCACGUCAGGCUACUUGUUUAGUCUUGGUUCAAGUUGUUUCUGUUGGAGUUCAAAGAAGCAGGAAAUCGUAGCUCAGUCUACUGCUGAGGCUGAGUAUGUUGCAGCUGCUGCUGCAGUCAAUCAAGCCUUAUGGCUAAGGAAGCUUAUGACAGAUUUGAAAAUGAUUCAGGAUUAUGCAACUGAAAUCUUUGUUGAUAAUCAAGCUGCCAUAGCAAUUUCUAACAAUCCAGUGUUCCAUGGGAAGACAAAGCAUUUCAAAAUUAAAGUAUUAUUUUGUUAGAGAAGUCCAGAAGAAUGAUGAAGUAAGGCUCGUGUAUUGCAAGACUGAAGAUCAGCUAGCUGACAUUUUGACAAAGGGACUGUCAAAGUCAAGAUUUGAGUUGUUGAAGAAAAGAAUUGGUGUCUGCAGCAAAAAUAGCAAGGAGGAGUGAUGACAAUGCUAUAUUUGCUGCAGGACUUGAGUAAAAAUAAAAAUAGCAAGAUUUGAUUAUGCUGUCAAUAAAAUCCUGCAAGAUUGUAGGAAAAAAAUUUGUUUUUGAAUUUUAUGAUAUCAUAUAUAUGUUAAAGAUAUGUAGGCAGAUUUUUUGACUUUGUUUGUUUCUUUUCAUGUAUAAAUUCAAAUACUGCAACAAUGAAUAAAAUACUGCAAUUAACAGCCUCAAUUUCUUUGUGUUCUCUUUUCUUUGUUUAAAACCAACAAAUUGUCAUCGAGGGAACGAAAAAAUGGUGGGAAGAGCUACAAUGGGAGGAUCAAGCCACCCAAAAUGCUUUCUUUUCCUGUGCCGUACUUUGGGAGGAUCCUUAUUAUUAAUAUGUUUGAAUAUGUAUUUCCUUUUUCUUUUUUUUCUUGCUAUAGAGUUGCAUGAUUGUGAUGAUCCUUAUUAUUAUUAUCCUUUUUUUUUUUCACAUGAAGUUCAGUAACUACUUCCGAGAUUAAUAAGAUCCAACUCGUUUUUGGUUUAGUCAAAAACUUUUUGUGGCUCUAAAUCCUUUUUAACACCAGGCCAGGCAUCCACAAAUAUAUUGACACCAUUUUAUUUAUUGAUGUUUAUAUAACUGAAUUGAUUACAAAUUACCCUUUUUGUCCAGUGUGUUCAGAAUAUACUCUGCACAACUAACACAAAAAUAAACAUGUAACAUACUAAUCGUUUAUGUUAAUUUAUGGAGGCCUUAUUGUCCAAGGCAUAUGUAAAACCAUUUCACAUUCGGCAUUGUAAUGUUUAUGGACGGAUUUAAAUGAUGUCACACAAAGUCACAAAUAGUUAAAAAAAAGAAGGUGUUUGUUUUAAAAUGUUGGCAUAUUUAUGGAGUGGGAACUCAGAUGCUGAACUCUGAAUGGGCUGGAAUCGGAAUGGGUUAGAAUCGGAAUGAGCCGGAAUGAGAAUGGGGAAUGAGAGUCAAAAUAAGUUGUUUAUUUGAACUGUAGGAAUCGAAAUCGGAAUGAGUUAGAACCCCAUUAAUGUGUUUACUUUAUCUAAGAAUCGAAAUCGGAAUAAGUUAAGUUGUUUUAAGUUACUAAAACACCCUUAGUUGUUAAUAAUAAUAAUAAUAGUUGUCCUUUGGUAUUAAUGAUAAUAAUAAUAAAUUUAAUAAUAACAUUAUAAAUAAAUAAAUAAUAGUAAUAAUUAAUGAUAAUAAUGAAAUUAAAUAACAACUACUAAUACUACAAUAAUAAUAAUAAUAAUAAUAAUAAUAAUAAUAAUAAUAAUAAUAAUAAUAAUAAUAAUAAUAAUAAUAAUAAUAAUAAUAAUAAUAACAACAACAACAACAACAUUAAUAACAAAUAAGCAAACAAUGAAAUAAUACAAACACCAAUCUACAUAAUUUUAAUGUACAAUAAGUGGCCGAACAAUAUAAGAAAUUAAUAAUUUAAAAUAUAAAAUUAUAAUUCCCAAAACAAACAUUGUGCUCCUCUUCACCGGAUGUAGCAGAUCGCGACGAAAAAUGGCGGCAGGAUGAGCGCGACCACGGUGGCAACAGAUCGAUCGGGACCACGGCGGCAGAUCGUGACGAACGAAAGCAGCAGAUCGCAGCCUUUUGACACCCCCUCGAAGACCCUCCUUUAAAUUCCUUAUAACUCUUUAAUUAAAAUUAUUUAAAUAAUUAAAGAUAAAUUAAUUCCAUUUUAUUUUGAUGGAAAAUUUAAUUAAUACUUAAAUAAAAUUAUUCUUUUAACAUUUUUCCACCCACCUCAUUUCAUAUAUAUAUAUAUAUAUAUAUAAUUUUUAGAAACUUUUAAUAAUUUAUAAUCUUUUUAAGGUGAAAUUUAAUGAGAAGAUUAUUAAUUUUAAUUUAUGGAUUAGUAUUUUAUAAAUUAAACCAAGGUACUUUGAUAAAUAAAAAUUAAAACAAGUUUUAUAAGGAUUUUGGAGUGUACGAAUUCAGAAUAUAGAUUUUCAUGGGGACGUUGAAUAUGCUGAAGCUGAAGCUAUGAAUUUUAGAAUAAAAAUGGCAAUAGACUUUGGUUUAAUGCCAUUAAUUGUUGAAUCAGACUCGAAUACUAUUUUAAACUUGGCGAAAGGUUUUGAAAGAAGUAUGAAAGAAAUAUCAUGGUUAAUUUUCGAGAUUCGAAAUUGUAUGGUUGUGAAAGACCACUUCGAAAUCAAUCUUACAUAGAGAAGUAGUAGUGAGACCACUCAUAAAUUAGAUAAAUAUGAUGUUAACAAUUCAGGCUGUGUAAUUUGGUUGGAGGAAAUUUCAACUCAUGUAAGUCUUUUUCCUUUAAGCGAUUAAUUGAAGUUUUCCAUUUCCAAAGAGAGAUAGAGAGAGAGAGAGAGCUCAACUCAAAUGAAAGUACGAAACAAAGAGUAAAUCCUGAUAGUAGAAAAAUGAGCCAUGAGUAGAACUAUUCGCACCUUUGAAAGCCCUCAUAAAAAUCUUUCUUCAAUAUGUCCCGCUAAAUCAUUUAAAAAAUAAUAUUAUUUCUAAGGGCAGAGCUAUUUGCACUCUAAAAAUUAUUCUCAACGUUUUAUUACUAUAUACACAUAUUUAUUAAUUUAAAAAAAUGAACUAUAUUUUGUACAACUAUGAUGCCACUUCCACCUCCAAUUGAAUGUCAGAAAAUUCAAAGUUUGUCAAAAGAGGAUGGUAAAUUAAGCCCCCUUUUUUUUUUAAUCUGGAUUUGGUUGAACAUUUUUAUGUCGCAAAAAUGUUUGCUGUGUUGUAAUGCCUAAGUGUUGCAGACUAGUUUGUAAGAGUCUGAAUAAUUGUCCAUGUUACUCUGGUAUUGUGGAAUGCCAUGUAUUUUUUGGCCAAAAGAAAAAAUCAAGCAACCAAUGUAAACUUGUUUAAUAUCAUCAUAAUAUAACUGAAAAAGAAGUAAUUAUAGUCAUACAAAAAAAAUUAAUAAUUGUCAUGUCCUUAAUAAUAAUUUAUAUCAUAAAUAUUAUUGAAAUAAUUUUUUUUUAUAAAAUUAUCAGUGUUUAGUGUAAUUUUUAGAGUGUAUAUAGCCUCAUUCUAUUUCUAAACCCACAUAAGUUGAUUCCAAAAACACCCUUGGCUUACACACCAACCCCAUUUUCACAUUUUCUUCGUCUUGGGGAGCUUGAAACCCAAAUCUGAUGGCUUCAACUUUCGAAUAAUCAUUAUCUCCAUUAGAACUUAUAAUUUUAAAAGCUAUUUCCAUAAUAUUUUCAUUAGAAUUUCUUAUAACAACAUCCAACAUUGGUUAUUGAUAUUUUAAGGUUUCAUCUUAAAUAAUAAUAACAAAAUAAUUAAAAUUUUAUCAAAAUUUAAGGAAAUACAUUGUACUUUGAUAAACAAGGAAUGUCAACUAAAUAUCGUCAAAAUAAAUAAUAAAUUUUUAAGUCGAGUUUUGGUUUCACAUAAUUGUAAUUAUGGAGACUAGUUAUUCGAAUAAAAUUUAAUUUCUUCUGUUUAUCAUUGUAACUUUACAUAGGGACAAUUGCAUGAUUAUAAAGGCAGGGUUUGAUAAGGAUUUUUUGGAGGUACCAAUAGGACCACUCAUGAGCCAUGACAAAAUUAAGCCCAUGCGAGGCCCACCUAAUCCAUUUUUACAUUUAGCCAAUUAGCCUGAAGAAUAAGACGAUAAUAAACAGUAAGCCUAAAUAAUAAGAUGAUAUGAAAGUAAGAAUAAGGUUAAGAUACCAAUUUUUUAGUCUUAACUUCUUAAGUCUUAAGUCUUAAUGUAACAUGUCAUUCAUUUAUUAGACGAUAAAUUUCAUAACUUGUAAAAUUAUUUAACCACCAUCCAAUAAAUGAUUGUCAUAUCUAUUGAAAUUUAAAUUUAAAUUUUAGAAUACUUAGCAUUGAGCUGAAUCUAAACGAUUUUAUUUUCUAUUAUUUUUAUUUUAUUUUAAUUUUUUUUCACAAUCGGAUUUUUCUUUGAGACAAUAGAAAGCCUUUUGGCUUUAAGUUUCUGAAAACCAAUAAUAAAAAAUUAUCCAUGAGUUUCUGAAAACCAAUUAACUUCAAAAUCUCUUCCAGCGCUAGGAGGAACAUCUUCAAUAACUUUUUCAUGACCUUUUGGGUAAUAAAUCCCAGUUCUUUCAUGAGGAACCCAGCUACAAUUCCCUUCAUUUUCUCCCACAUUAUUAUUCAUCUGCUGGCUCCUCAUCACAUUUCCUUCUUCCGCAUUGGAUUUCAAUGCUGUUUCUCUUAUCAUAUCAUUAGAACUUGCUUUCUUUUGAAAGGAUUUCCUCAUUAUUGGCCUAUAUGUUUCAAAAAGACUUAACAAAUUAAUAAUGUAAAAACAAAGACUAAAAUAUUCAAACACUCAAAUGAAUGAAAGUAAUCUCUUUUUAUUAUUGCGUGGACAGUGGCGAAAUCAGGAUUUUGGAUGUCAUCAAUAAUAGAGAAACAACAAAUUUUAAGUAGGUUAUAACACAAGAAUAUAAACAUAUGGGGGCUACAAAAUAAAAUUAUCAGACAUAAGGAUAAAUUUAAUUGAAGACUUUCAUAUUUCUUGAUAAUGUUUUUUAACCUGAGUCCCCUGUGGAGACAUAUUGAUUCAGUUAAUAAAACAUUUAAUUCUAUGUACUUAACCAACCACUCAUAAUUAGUAAUUACAUAAUUUGAAACUAUUAGGCCUAUUUCGAACGAACUGUUUCAUAACAAAAUUAAUUUAGAUAAAGUGAAAAGAUUUAUUUACAAACAUACCAUGCAAUAAUGAAGUGCGAUUGUCAAAAUGAAAUGAUGAAAUAGCAAAGUAGAUAGAUAAAAACAUGGAGUUAAAGGUGGGAGCUCCUCUAGCAAAUGAUCCUGUCAUCUUUUUCUUCUUUUUUCUCUCACUUUCUCUCUUUCCAAACAAUGUGGGUGGAAUGAAUUGAAUUAUGAUUUAGAUAGAGAGCUCUUUACAUAGUGAAGUUAAAUAAGAGAAUAUUGUUAUCUAUUUCUCUCAUCUCUAGGGAGAUCGUUUAUUGUACGUCAUUUUCUGUUUGGAUAAAUAUUAAAUUAUAACACUCUUUCUUGAUCAUUGGGGAGCACUCAUUGCAGAGCAUGGCCUUCUUUUGUUCCCUUUUGUUUUGUUUUUGUUUUUUAGUCAUCUAAGUUAUGGGACAUGGCUUGUGGACUCAGCUUUUAGAAACUUUCCCUAGAUAAGUAGUUGAAUCUAGGGGAGGUACUUUUUAGUUUUAUAAGUGACAUUGAUUCACCUCAUGAUUAGUGGCCAGAGAGAAUAAUUACGAAAAAAAAAUUUUAAUUGUUAAUUAAUUUUGUUGAAUAUAUUAAAAUAGCCAAGUUAAAUUUAUAAAAAUAGUUUCAUAAACUCUUAAAUCCAUAAAAUUUUAAUUUUGAGGAUUACAAAAACCACACUUUAACAGAUAUACAAAAAGAUUGUAAAGAUAUAAGAUGAGUCGUUAAUAAUUGCACGUGCAAACAUCGUAUAUUCUUUAUAAUUAAUUGUGCAGAUUUUCAUGACCAAUGCACCAGAUUUUGAUGACCAAUGCACCUGGGUGCGAAAACAAAAAUUAGAACAAAAUAUAUUAAUAAGGGAAGGCCACUCUUUUGUCAAUAUAUAUAUAUAUAUAUAUAUAUAUAUAUAUAUAUAUAUAUAUAGAGUUUGUUAUAAAAGAUUACCUCAGUAUCAAACUCUCCCGAUUCAACAUUGACAUUGAUGACAGUGAAAAUCUUUACAAGAUCCACCAAUAAUCCAGGUCGAUCAGCCGUCUCCACCAAAAGCAAACUUCAAUAAAACAAAAGGUAAACUAAACAAAAAUAGUAAGGACCAAAUUAUCUGACUACUUCAGUUAUGGGCAGGAAUUGCCACUUGGGCUGGAGUAUGAGUAGUAAUAAUGUGGGACCAAAGUUUGGUGGAUAGCAAAAGCCCCAUCAUCUAGAUAAGAGAAUGAAUUAUGCAUUGCCUUCGGUUGGGGCCAUCAUCAUAGAUGCUUAUGUGGGUUGCUAUGUCCACAUCAACCUGACAAAUUCCAGCACAACAAGAUUUGAGACAAGAUUGAAGUGGGACGUUAUCCUUCCCAUAAUAACUCAUAUACGUAGUUUUUAACAUUCACAACAUGAUAUUAAUUUCAAUGGCAGGCAAAUUGAAUAUAAUGUCUUUAAAGAAAAUGAGGAUAAAAGUGAAGUAAUAUUUGGCCUAAGAGAACUCUAAAACAACUUAGUUUCCUAUUCAAAUGAUCACUAGUGAGAAGAGCCAAAAAUAUCAAUAAUCUGAAAAAUCAAAAUAAGACCAGAAAGCAAAAACCUGUUGUUUUGGAGGAUCAACGCCAAAGGCAACACCCAUUGCCAACUGGGAACUUGAUUCCUGAUUCCAUCACCAACACAAAUGGAAUAAGCUUUUGAAUAAGACAAUUCCUACAGGUGCUCCACCAAGUGAUAUCUCAAGAGAGACAAAAAAAAAUGAUUACCGGGUGAUACUGAAGUAGAUUGUUUAUAACUGUCAAACAAAUUGCCUCAAGCACCUCAGGAUCAUCAACUUUCCUACCAGUAUCACCGCACACAAGCAUCAUGACCAAAUUAAUCAAAACCACAGUGGGAAUCUAUUGCAAGAACUGCUCCAAAAAACACCGAUGGCUCUUUGGAUCAUUGAUUUUAGGUUCUAGUAUGUCCAAAAUUUUAACGAUUUCAACAUUAGUGAUAAACAUCUAUUUGCAACAGACUGAUCAUACUUGUAUAUGGAGCAUCACAAGUAGGUAUUUACUAUGCUCAUCAAAUAUAGACCAGAAGACGUUGACAACAAUUAAAGGGUAUUAGUGAAUGAAACUGCAAGCAGAGAAUACAAAUCAGCUCAGUAAUGCAAGGGCAUGAAAAGCAAAAUGCAUAUGCAUCACAAAAUUAUAGAGAUAUAUAAUUUCGCAGUCAUAUGAUGAUAUUGCAGCGGUGAAGCCGUGCGUGAGGUUAAGGCAAGCGAUGGAAUGACUUGCGUUACAAAAGAGGUAUUUGCAAUGAUUGUGUACUGGACGGAAAUUGAAUCCAUGUUUAAGAAUUUACCGCCGGGGAAAAAAUGUCAAUACAAAGUCAAUGCGAACGAAUAGUGAAGUCAGCAGUCGCAAAGGCAAAGUUCUUAACCAGAUGGACUCCAGAUAGAUUAGCGGUGGCAGUUUCACAGCUGACAGAUGAACAAAGAAUGGCUGCUUGUCAAAUGGGCUUUGGUAGUUUUCUACAACUGAACCGUGGCAAGCUAAAAAGGAAACUUUGUGGCUAGUUAAUUGAGAUGAUUGAUACUUUGAGGUACAUUUUAGAGUUGAAUGGUAUUAGCUUUCGAACAAGAUCAUCAAAGAAACUCCACCAACCAGGAAAUUUAGACUUAAUCUAUGCUCUGCAAAUUCAUAUACUCUCUAAUAUGAAACUACUUUUAUGUGUUUUGUUAUUCCGACUUGGUAACGUUGUUAUGGAAGCCUGACAACUAUUAUGUCCGUGCAAUUUUUAUUGUAUCUUUUGUUAUGUCAUGAUAUCGAAGCUUGGUUUUCUGACUCCAACUACUAAGAACUGCAGUUGCAGCAUCUUUUGAAUAUUACAUAUGUGCUUGUAGUGUCUCCACGGAUUAAAAUCUGCUAUUUAAGUUCUUCUACCGCCCCCGCUUCUUCUUUCAUUUAUACUUGCUGCACCAUUUACUUCACACUCUGUAAAGCCAUAUGAAAGCUUGUUCAUUUAUGUUCACUUGCAAUUCAAAAGCAGUGUUUAUUUCAACUGUCAAAUUGACUACUUGCACGUAUUGAUUUCAGUCGAAACAAGGUUAUUGGUCGAUCCAGAAAUUGAAUCCAUAUGGCCAUUCCAGCAUCAUUCAACCACCUAAUUUCAAAUAUAUAAAUUAAUUCAACCCACUUAAGUGAUCAAAGGCGUGGAACAAAUCAUGAAAGAUUUUUCAGCUAUCAUAAAUUCGAACGGAUGUAGUUUGUAUUCUUUCAGGCUUAGACAGAUUUUUUGCAACAUAAACUUGUAUGUAAUGUACAUUUUUUUGUUCCUUACAAAUUAAUUGCUGCUAAAAUAAUUGUUUCGACCAAUAUUUAUUGUUAUAAUAGAGAAACCUUUUCUUGCAACUCAAACAGUUCCGAUGGCAUGAUCUGCAUCCCCUGUUUGCCUCUUGGGCUGCACGAUCUUGCUCCUUUUCAUCAAACGGCAACUUCGCUGCAGACAAAAAGAGGGGGUACAGUGCGCAGGGGCACCGUAGAUGUAGCCCAAAAAGAUGAUUUUGUCCCUCCAUGUCUAAGUAUUUUAACCAAAAAAUAAUAAUAAUUCCUUACAUCAUCAAUGAUUGCACUUGUAAAUCUAAGGGAUUAGAAUUCUGUAUUGAAUUUAUAUUUUAUUAAAUAAAAAAUUAAUGUUAAUUUUUUUUUUUUUUUAUCUAGCUAUCAUUGACUUUAUAUUUUGGAUCUUCAUCCAGAAUUAAGGCACAAAAUUUUUGUUCUAAAUAAAUAUUCUCAAUAUAAAUUUAUCACUUAAAUAAUAAUGAUAAGAUUUAAUAUUAAUUCUAUCAUUACUGAAAUGGAUUACAAAUUUUAUAUGACUUGUAAACGUAUCAUUAUGUUCUUGAUAUUUGAAACAUGAAUCAAGCAACAUAUGUAGCAUAUUUUUAUUUCAGUGUCGUGCUUCUCUAAAAAUUGUUGAAAGCAGAAGCCAAGCUGGCAUGCCUCCUGAGCUGGUGUGGUAGGUGAGUUGGAUUUGUUGAGCUGGCAAAUGAAAUUAUUUAUGAUGAUGCUGUGAAUUUAAUUGUCGUAUAAUGUUUGUGUAGAAUUAAGAAUGGAAGACAAUGUCGAUGAUGACAAGAAGAAUAGCAGCGCAUGUGAAUUGAAUAGUUGCAUCUUCUAGAAGCUUAAUGUGAUUGGUUCACAAUUGAAUUGAAUAGUUGCAUCUGCUAAUGAAGAAUAGCAGCGCAUGUGAAUUGAAUAGUUGCAUCUUCUAGAAGUUUGUCUCUGUAUGCAAACUAGCAAAGCUCUGUAUUUCAUUUUCAUUCAAGUCAUCAUAAUCAAUAAAGGCCUGAUUCUCAUACUCUGUUUGCAUUUGAAAGCAAUUCUUAAGAAUUUAAGUAAAAUGACCCUCACCAAAUUAGCUUAAUUCUUUUCAUUGUACCCAUUGCUUCACUUCCUCUUUUCGUCAACGACAAUGGGUAACUUAAUCUCAACCUUCUUACCAGCAGACUUAUUCGAUCGAACUUCAAACUGCGUUGGUGAACAAGCAAAAUAUGUAUGGGGUCUCGAAAAAAAUCUUCGGGUCUUGGAGACUGAAUUGCACAAAUUGACUCGAGCAAGGGACGAUCUGAAGACCAAGGUUGAGGUCGAAGAACAACGACCUCGAACCAGACGAACGAACCAGGUCGCAGGGUGGCUUGAAGAUGUGCAAAAACUGGAAACUGAAUUUACCGAGCUGGAACGAGUUAGAGCUCAAGAAAUGGAUAGAUUGUGCCUUGGAGGCCUCUGUUCCAAAAACUUCGUUUCAAGCUACAAUUACGGGACUCAGGUGGUCGAGUUGACGGAUCGAGUGAUCAAUUUAAAGAAAGACGGAGAAACAAUUGAAGUCGUUGUUGAGAAGGCGCCGGAUGGUGCAGCAAUUGAAUUACCUGUUGAUCACACGGUUGUUGGUCAAGAACGAUUACUUGAUCAAGUUUGGAGAUGUAUCACUGAUGAGGAAAAGAACAGGGGAAUUAUCGGCUUGUAUGGUAUAGGGGGAGUCGGCAAAACUACCCUUUUAAAACAAGUCAACAACAACUUCUGCCAUCAACGGCAUAUUUUUGAUGUUGUUAUCUGGGCGGCUGUGUCAACACUUCAAGAUGACAUUGGAAAAAGGAUUGGCUUUUCAGAAGCCAAGUACUGGAAGGAAAAAAGUCUUCAAGCUAAGGCUGUGGACAUCGCUGGCAUUUUAUGCCGAAAGAAGUUUGUGUUGUUAUUGGAUGAUAUAGGGGAACGGAUUGAUUUAACACAAUUGGGUGUCCCUCUUCAAAAACUAAAAGAUGGGUCCAAAGUAGUCUUGACAACUCGUUCAGCUGGUGUUUGCGAUCAAAUGGACGCUGAAAAGGUGGAAGUGUAUAGUUUGGCGCAUGAUAAAGCCUGGGAAUUAUUUCAGGAGAUGGUCGAAAGAUCCACUCUUGACAGUCAUACCAGUAUUCCAGAGCUAGCCGAAGCCUUGGCAAGAGAGUGUGGUGGGUUGCCGCUAGCGCUUAAAACAGUGGGUCGAGCCAUGAAAAGCCAAAGGAGAGUUGGAGAUUGGAAACGUGCAAUUAACAAAAUGAGAACAUCAGCUUCUAAAUUCUCAGGUAUGAAAGAAGAGGUGUUUUCGCGUUUAAAGUUCAGCUAUGAUAGUUUGUCUACGGAUGAACUUCGUUCCUGUCUCCUGUAUUGUUGUUUAUACCCUGAAGACUACAAAAUUCCUAAAAGGGAAUUGAUUGAUUAUUGGAUUAGUGAAGAAUUUGUGUGUGAUUUUGAUGGUGGAUGCGAUUUUAUUGAUGACCUUCUUCAUGCAUGCUUAUUGGAGGAAGAAGGCGAUGAUCAUGUAAAGAUGCACGAUAUGAUUCGUGAGAUGUCAUUAUGGAUAGCGUGCACGGUAGACAAGGAGGAGCAGAACUUUCUGGUUCGCGCUGGAGUUGAAUUGACCGAAGCACCAAAGUUUGAAGAAUGGCAAGGUGCCAAACGGGUAUCUCUGAUGGGAAAUGGAAUUAGGAGCUCAUCGGAAAUUCCCACGUGUCCGCGCCUCGUAACUUUACUUCUUUCAAUCGAUGUCUUCUCUUAGAGUAUUAAGUCUAAGAGGAAAUUUUCCCCUAAGAACACUACCUUCAGGGAUUUCAGGUUUGGUUUCAUUACAUCAUCUUGAUCUAUCAUCGACUAACAUAACUGGGUUGCCGCAAGAGCUGAAGGCGUUGGAGAAGUUGAGAUAUUUGAACUUGGACUAUACACGGUUUUUGUCUAUAAUUCCACAUCAAUUGAUAUCUGGUUUUUCAAAGUUGGAGGUACUCAGGUUGCUUUCACGCGGUCGCUGGAGCGUAAUAGAAGGUAACGUUCUAUGUGAUGAUGCUGAACCUUUGAUGAAGGAAUUGCUGGGUUUGAAGCAUUUAAAUGUUUUAAGCUGGACCUUCCGAAGUUCACUUGCUGUCCAAAAGUUUUUGAAAUAUCCAAAGCUGGUGAGCAUCACUCAAUCUGUAAUGGUUUGCCAAUGUGAAAGUCCACCGUUCAAUGUCUUACAUCUAGCAUACAUGGAGAAUCUUCAGGAGUUACGCAUUUCAGACAGUAAUUUGGAAGAGAUGAAGACUGACAGCACAGAAGAGGUAAAGAAACUUUUUCAAAGUGGUUUCCGCAGUCUCGACAGAGUUGUCAUAUGGAGUUGCCAAAAAAUGAAAGACUUAACGUGGCUAGUUUUUGUUCAAAUUCUCAAGCAGCUGCGUAUAGUCUUUUGUACAGAAAUGGAAGAAAUAAUUAGUGUUGAUAAAUUGAGAGAUAUUUCGAAGAUAAUCGGGUCAGAGCAUAACUUUUUUGCACAACUCGAAUCUCUAACCAUAAAGUGGGGAAGAAAUUUAAAGAGCGUUUACCCGAAUCCCCUGCCCUUUCCAAAGCUGAAGAAAAUUGAAGUACGUGAAUGCCCACAGCUGAAGAAGCUCCCACUCAAUUCCAGCAGCGCGAAGGAACGUCGAGUUGUCAUCGAGGGGUCGAAAAAAUGGUGGGAAGAGCUACAAUGGGAGGACCAAGCCACCCAAAAUGCUUUCUCUUCCGGUGUCGUACUUGGGGAUGAUUUUCAUUAAUAUGUUUGAAUAUGUAUUUCUUUUCUUUUUCUUUUUUUUUUUAAUUUUCAUUAGAUUUAAUUGCAUCUUGUUGUUGUUGUCUGGUGUGUCAAUCGUUAUCUAUUUUCAGUUAAUAAAAUUUCAGCAGUGGAUUCUUGGUUUUAGAAUCCUCCCACUGGAAAGAAUUUCUCCUUUGGCUUGAAUGCGACCUUUUUACUCGUCGACAAAAUUGUAUUUGUCGCUUAAGUCUUGUUUGUUUUAAAAUGCUGGCAUAUUUAUAGAGUGGGAACUCAGAUGCUGAACUCAUAGUAAAUAUUUAUUUAAUUUGUUAUAAUUAUAUUUGGUGAGAUAUUUAUUCAAUAAUUGCCCUAUCACUUUGUGCAUGAUCACAGAAUUUUGUACUUCCGUCUGUGAAAUAACUUUUGGAAAAGGAAAUUAAUUUUUUUAAGUAACGGUAAAUAUUUUAAAUUUUUAUUUUAAAUUUUAUUUUAAAUAAUAUAGUAUGUAAUGUGUCAUUUAUUUAGUGAUUGAUAAUUUAAUAUAGGAUUUAAAUAAAUUAAUUAUGCUAUUUUAUUAUUUAAUUAAUAAAUAUUAUAUAAUUUAAAAUAGAUUUUUGAGAUAAAAAUUAUAAAAGUAAAAUUCUACUCAACAGACUAAAUUUAAAAUGAUGUGAUUGGCAGGUAAGACUUAAGAAUUAGACAAAAUUUCUCAUUCAACAGCUUGUAGAAAAUUUAUACACUAGGCCUUAGCUAAACUUGGACUUGUCGUAUGUUUGAAGUAUUCGACGAUAAUCAUAUCUGCAUUUUUAUUUUAUUUUUUAUUUUUGGUUUGUUUAGGGCUUUUCAUCGGUUUUCGUCUUGGUCUUUGUCCUGGUCUUGGCGUCUUGCUAUCAAAUCAAGUGUUCUCUUCUCCUAUCCUCUAAUGAAAGUGCAGGGCCUCAACUAUUUGUUACUGCUAUCACUUUAGAGGUUGAUGCUAAUGUCCGAAGGUCACGUUUAAUUUGCUUGAAUGUGACCUUUACUUUGGUUGACAAAAUUGUGAUUGUCACAAAGAACAAACUAUAAAAGUGCAGUUUAAAUCGAACACUGAAUUCCCUAUGGAAAUUUUCGCACCCGUAUAUAUAUUCUACAUUAUUUGGUUGCAAAGACUAUAAUUAACAAGAAGCUAAUAUAUAUAGUAGAGAGAGAAAUAACAAGUUCAAUGUUGGUAAAAUUUUAUCUUCCCUUCACUGCUCUCCUUUGCUGCAAUCAAGUGGCCUCACUUACAAAUUUUGACUUUUAAUUAUUUCAAUUAACACAAGAAAAAAAGGGCAAUAUAGUUUACAUUACUCUAUCAGCCUUAUAUAAAGGGUAUAAAUAUGAGAGUGCGUUUGGAAUUGAAGUCGGACACUUGUCGCUUAAAAGCUACAGUAGCAAAGUGUUUGGUAAAUACUAAUUGUUGUGUCUUGAAAGAUAUGUUGAUAUGAUUUUUCACUUGUAUAAUAGAGAAUUUAUUAUUUUAUUAUUAAUAAUUUCGUUAAAAUUAUUAUUUAAAAUUUAUAUUUAUUAAAUAUUAUUAACUUUUGUUUUAUAGUUACAAUUUUUUUUUUUUACAGCAACUGUACCUUAAAAGUUAUAACACUUCAAUUCCAAACGUACCUUAAGUCUGUAAGGCAUAAGUUUUCACUCUUCGGGAAUCUAAGGAGAUUAGGGCAAGAGCUGCACAUUUGUAGUCUCAAAUUCAUUUGACAUCAGCCAAUUUAAUGUCUAUGGACGGGUAUAAAGGACGUCACAGACGGUUAAAGAACAAGGUGUUUGAUGGAAAUGUCAAGAAGUUCGAUGAAAUGUCUCACCUACACAACCAAGCCACUUAACAUUGCAGUCUUAUAAUACAAUUCCUACCUUCUCUUCCAUUUUCACCAACAUAAUUCUUUCUUUCUCACUUUAUUUUCUUCCUUGAAAUUUUUGUUAACAAAAAUGGGUAACAUCAUUCUCAUGCGUGCUUCUUAUCACCAGACUCAAUUCUUGCAGUUUUAUUUUAUUUUAUUUUUCCUUCGUGGAGAUGCUAAAAUAUAUAUGAGAUCUAAAAAGCUAAUCUUGAUGAGUUGCAGAAUCCAAUGCAGAAUUUGAAAGUUACAAAAGAUUAUAAAUACUAUUUUAACUUGUAAGCUUCCAUUGCUAUACAGUGAGGUAUGUCUAGAUAUCAUUUUGGUCUUUUAUAUAUUGGGUUCCAGUGAAAGACUUUUGUUCUAGUUGAAUUUAAUUUUGUCUUUGUAUUUACAGACAAAAUAUUAGGGACAUUUAUCAUACAUAUUUGGCUAGUUCGCCGUGGAAAAAUAAUAAUAGUUGAAAAGACAUAGGGUACUUUUUAUUUUCCUUUAUAUUACUAAUAGAUUUCCCACGCGCAACAGACGAAGUCAUUGCUGCUUCAAUAAUUGCCCUAUCACUGUGUUCAUCAUCACAAAUUUCUUUAUUACGUUUGUGAAAUAACCAUUGCAUAAAAAAAUUACUCCAACUUUUUAACUAAUAAUAGAUAUCUCAAAUUUUAUUUUCAGAAUAUGGUAUGUAAUGUAAGCGAUCGAUAGUUCUUUAUAAAAUAUAUAAAUAAAUUAAUAGUGUUAUCUUAGUGUCUAAUAUAUAUAAAUGACUUUCUCCAUAUAUUGCACUAUUGAUAUGGGCUAAAGUUUUAUACUAUGAGACCCAAUUUCUAUAAUUUACACUAUAAGUUAAAAGUAUUUAGAAAAAUACUAUUGCAAAUCAAAAGGUAUUAUCUAUUUUAUACCUAAAGCAUUUUCACUAUUUAAGACUAGUAAAAUUUCUAUAUUAUUAUAAUAUUAGAAUCAAACACCAAUAAGCGAGUAAAUCAGGUGGAAUAAGAAUGUUCUAACUUAACCAAGGUCCUCGGUUUGAAACUUAGAAAUGCAACUACAUUAAAUACUUAUUGGGAGAGAUUUGCCGCUUUAGUGGUUCUAUCCGGCUCGAAUCUAGAUUAGUCGGGGAUCUAAUGUGGUCUUUGGAUACUAGAUGAUUUAAUAUACCGAUAAUAUUGGAACCAAACUCAUUUACAAUUAUGAAGAGGUUAUAAUUUAAUAGAGGCAUAGUAACAAACUAUUAAUAGAGAGUAUAAAAUUUAAUGUAUAAACAAAAUUCUAUAAUUUACACUAUAAGUUGCAAGUAUUUAGGUCAAUACUAUUGCAAAUCAGAAGAUAUUAUAUAUUUUAUGCCGAAAAUAUUUCCACUAUUUAAGGCUAGUAAAACUUCUAUAUAAUUAUAAUAUUGGAACCAAACACCAACAAGCGAGUAAAUCAACUAGAAUGGAAAUGUUCUAACGUCAAGGUCCUCGGUUCAAAACUUAGAAAUGCAACUACAUUAAAUAUUUAUUGGGAGAGAUUUGCCGCUCUAGUAGUUCUAUCCGGGUCGAAUCUGGAUUAGUCGGGAAUCUAAUGUGGUCUUUGGAUACUAGAUGAUUUAAUGUACCAAUAAUAUUGGAACCAAACUAAUUUACAAUUAUGAGGAGGUUAUAAUUUAAUAGAGGCGUAGUAACAAACUAUUAAUAGAGCGUAUCAAAUUUAAUAUUGGAAUCCGAUGAUUGGUUGCAACAUAAGAUAUUUGUAAGCUUAGUUAAAGGUUCAUUAAAAAUUAUAGAGAUAUAUAAUUUCGCAGUCGACGAAGCCAUGCAUGAGGUUAAGGCAAGUGAUGGAAUGACUUGCGUUACAAAAGAGGUAUGUGAAGUUGCACUAUAAAAAUAAAAUAAAUUUGUAUUUUCAAGUAGUGAAGGUGUAGUUAGUUUAUUUGCGGUAGCAGUUUCACAGCUGACAGAUGAACAAAGAGUGGCUGCUUGUCAAAUGGGCUUUGGUAGUUUGCUACAAUUGAACCGUGGCAAGCUAAAAAGGAAACUUUGUGGCUAGUUAAUUGAGAUGAUUGAUACUUUGAGGUACAUUUUAGAGUUGAAUGGUAUUAGCUUUCAAACAAGAUCAUCAAAGAAACUCUACCAACUAGGAAAUUUAAACUUAAUCUAUGCUCCGCAAAUUCGAAUAUUCUCUAAUAUGAAACUACUUUUAUGUGUUUUAUUAUUCCUAGCUUUUACCGACUUGGUAACGUUGUUAUGGAAGCACGACAACUAUUAUGUCCGUGUAAUUUUUAUUGUAUCUUUUGUUAUGUCAUGAUAUCGAAGCUUAGUUUUAUGACUCUAACUACUAAGAACUGCAAUUGCAGCAUCUUUUGAAUAUUACAUAUGUGCUUGUAGUAUCUCGACGGAUUAAAACCUGCUAUUUAAGUUCUUCUACCCCUCCCCCCCUUCAUUCUUUCAUUUAUACUUGCUGCACUAUUUACUUCGCACUCUGUAAAGCCAGAUGAAAGCUUGUUCAUUUAUGUUCACUUGCAAUUCAAAAGCACAGUUUAUUUCAACUGUCAAAUUGACAACUUGCACGUAUAGAUUUCAGUCGAAACAAGGUUAUUGGUCGAUCAAGAAAUUGAAUCCAUAUGGCCGUUCCAGCGUUAUUCAACUACCUAAUAUCAAAUAUAUAAAUUAAUUCAACCCACUUCUGUGUCAAAGGCAUGGAACAAAUUAUGAAAGAUUUUUCAGCUAUCAUAAAUUCGAACGAGUGUAGUUUGUAUCCUUUCGAACUUAGACAGAUUUUCCUUCCAUUAACCUUACAGUGUUAGUAAUCCUAUUACUUGUUUUUAAAGCUUGAAUAGUAUACCGAAAUUUUUGGUUUUUGCAACAUAAACUUGUAUGUAAUGUACAUUUUAUAGUUCUUUACAAAUUAAUUGCUGCUAAAAUAAUUGUUUCGACUACUAUAUUUAUUGUUAUAAUAGAUAAACAUUUUCUUGCAACUCAAACAGUUCCAAUGGCAUGAUCUGCAUCCCCCGUUUGCCUCUUGGGCUACGAACCUGCUUAACAGCUGCACCAUCUUGCUCCUUUUCAUCAAACGGCAACUUCGCUGCAGACAAAAAGAGGGGGUACACUGCCCAGGGGCACCAUAAACGCAGCCCAAAAAGAUGAUUUUGUCUUUCCAUGUCUUAGUAUUUUAACCAAAAAUAAUAAUAAUAAUUCUUUACAUCAUCAAUGAUUGCACUUGUAAGCCAGGCAAUAGUUUUUUUAUUAAAUAAAAAAUUAAUGUUAAAUUUUUUUUUUUUUUUUUUUUUUUUUAUCUAGCUAUCAUUGACUUAAUAUUUUGAAUCUUCAUCCAAAGUUAAGGCACAAAACUUUUAUUCUAAAUAAAUAUUCUCAAUAUAAAUUUAUCACUUAAAUAAUAAAUAAUAAGAUUUAACAUUAAUUCUGUCGUUACUGAAAUGAAUUGUAAAUUUUAUAUGACGUGUAAACGUAUCAUUAUGUUCUUGAUAUUUGACAUAUGAAUUAUAAAGCAACAAAUGUAUCAUAUUUUAUUUCGGUAUUGUGCUUCUCCAUAUUUGCUUAAUUCUUUUCGUUGUACUCAUUGCUUCUCUUCCUCUUUUCGUCAACGACAAUGGGUAACCUAAUCUCAACCUUCUUACCAGCAGACUUAUUUGAUCGAAUUUCAAACUGCGUUGGUGAACAAGCAAAAUAUGUAUGGGGUCUCGAAAAAAAUCUUCGGAUCUUGGAGACUGAAUUGCACAAAUUGACUCGAGCAAGGGCCGAUCUGAAGACCAGGGUUGAGGUCGAACAACAACGACCUCGAACCAGACGAACGAACCAGGUCGCAGGGUGGCUUGAAGAUGUGCAAAAUCUGGAAACUGAAUUUGCCGAGCUGGAACGAGUCAGAGCUCAAGAAAUGGAUAGAUUGUGCCUUGGAGG
rnacentral:lncRNA from 1 species